rnacentral:lncRNA from 1 species
GCCAUCCACCUUCUCCACAGAAUGUUUUCAAGCAGGGAGUUUAUUUAUAUGUUGAACUUAAAACCAAAAAAGGGAACUUCUGUUUGCAAAUGCAACUACUCAGGAUGUGACUGUAGUUCCCCAGUACAGUCACGUGACCCACUUUAUUUUUUUUUUUAAAAAGGCGCUGCAGAAGAGCUAAAUUCAGAAAAUUUGGCUGAAACCACGCUGUUGUCAAAACUUCACGAUGAACUUAUUAACAAGCUGGAUGUCAGUCCUAAUGGCAUUUCUUCUUCUCUUACAUUUUUGGAGAGCAAAGGUCUAUGCUUCUGGAAACUCAGAGGAGGAAAUAGAUUUGACGUAUGUUAUUAUAGGAGUUACUCUGGGAGUGAUUCUAACAAUCGGUUUUAUAGCAGUAAUAAUCUGCUUGAUCAAAAAACAAGUGAUUGACAUUGGAGAGUCAGAUGGCAAAAUGGAUAGAAGGUCAAACAUGGGAUCAAGCCAAAACAGAGAUGAUGUCAACGUACUUGGAAAGCAAAGUACAAAUGAUCAAUAACCCUUUUGCGAUCAACAGUUACCUGCUCUGAGGAUCAAUAGAAGUCUCUUGUGCACAGGCAGGAGUCUCACCAACACCGAUCCCUUUCUUUGUUCUUUAAUUGAAAGACUGAUUGAUUGAUUACAGGAGGAGCUCAUAGCGCAUGCUAACUUCAAUCACCUGCACACAAAAAUCCUCAACAGCACAUACCUGAAGGAAAUGUAUGAGGAAAACAAAAGAGAUGAGCUCUCCUCAUGAAUAGAUCCUGUUUAGCCCCUGACAAGUAUAUGUGUGAUUUCUAAAAUCAGUUAAAUACAGGGUAAUCAAAAAGUCAGUAAUACAUUUCAUCAGAGAAUUCAUGUCAUGCCCGUAUUUUGAGAUAGGUAAAUAGUGACUGAAGUAACUUGAAAAAAAUCAUUCAUUUGAGGUUGAAGCAAAAUAAGGCUUCCCCCCCUUUUUUUUUUUUUUCAGGAAAUGUAUGUCAUGUGUUAGUAGGAAAACAUUUCAUUCACACUAAAGUUAUAUCUCUUUUAGCUUUAGGACUGAUGUCUUUUGUUUAACUGUAGGUGGUAGUGCUAAUUUCAGCCAUUUAAAAUGAAUUGUGGUCAUUUAAAAAUGUAAAAGUCCUUUUUGAAAUAAUGUUUUCCAUGUUUUGCUUUUAGAACAUGGAAAUGAAACCAGUUUUGCAUACUCAAAAAGUUUCUGGAGAUCUGAAACAAAACAUUUCAUGUCAACAUUCCACAACCAAACUAACCUAUUUCCAAAAUUCACCCAGCUCUGUUUUACCUUAGUAUAAAACAGUGCACUGAGUUCAAUCAGAAUUUAUGAAUAAUUUCAGUCUCCCAACCCCUUCAUUCUUGUUCUAGCCUUAUACAUUCUGUUGAAUUUGAUGUCAUCAGAACUGCUUUGCCUGGCUCCAAUUACAAGCUUCUUACAGCAGGAGUGACAAGAAAAAUUAGAGCUUUGUCUCAAAAUAUUUAGAAUAAUUUAAAUAAUUUUAAAUGGUUUAAACCCAAGUUAUUUUGUAAACACAUCCCAGCUUUUACCAAACCUGUGAGCCUGUGGCUUCUGUCCCAGUUCAGAAAAUAAUGCUGUAGAUUUAAUCCCCUUCUUUUGAGAAUGCCAUGUUAUACAGAUGUUGUCAUCACAAGGUGCAUGAAAACCAGGAAGAUUUUGGUGUUUCAAGCCAGGCUUUCCUUUCAGCUUGGGGAAACAGGGCAGCAAAUGGCAUGCACGAUGAUAAUUAAUGACAGAAUUAACAGGCAUAGCUGUUAUGCUACACUAUUCCAUUGCAACUUACAAAGAACCACUAUCCAGAUGCAAAGACCACAGGCUGGAAAUAGAUUGGAUCUUCCUAAACGUUUAGCUCAGGCCGAUGUCUAUAGACAUAUGGAUGUUUUUAAUUUCUCAUCUGACUUGCAUUCCUAAAGUUAACUUUCAAACCAGUGUCUGCUCUCAGUUAUGCCAUGGGACAGAUCAUAAUAAAGUUCUUUCCAGUUCUUCA